rnacentral:lncRNA from 1 species
UAAGUCUUAUAAUACCACUGACAUUAAGGAGUAUGUUAAACUUUUAGCACUCAAAUAUAUGUAUUUAAGUGAAAGUGUAUCUUUCUCCAAAAACCUGAUCUUCAUAGAAUUUUCUGUUAGCUAAUCUGAAAUCAUAGAUUUGGCUUCUUUGGAACGUUUUCUGGCUUGCUUCUGCAUUGCCUUGUACCUUCCUCAUGUGGACAGUUCUUUUUCACUGCAUUGCUUUAUUGCCAGACAUCUCGCCCUCUCAUCUGCAUCUUUUGUUUUUGUUGAAUUGAUUUCUCACAAAAUAAAAAGUAAUCUAUUAUUAUUUAAUUAUUUUCUCACUAUAUCAGAAUGUUGAUGAAAGGAAAACUUUCAGUGGCGAGAUAAAAACUAAAAAGGGACUUGAUUAGCGUACCAGAUUCAUAAUGGUUGAUCACCUCCCCUAUCAGUCAUUCAAGGAUCAGAGUCCACUGUUUCCACUAUAACUAGUCUGAUUUCUUAUUUGUAGUCUGUCUGACUUCUUGCAUAUUAUUUAUUGAGACUUCCUAUCGUUCCAACAUAUCAUAGAAUGACUGUCUAGGAUUUUCGAAACUCAAAAAAGGCCACGGUUGCUGGGGAUAGGAAGAAAGUGAGAAUUUAAAACCUUCUUUAGUUGUGGGGUAUAUUUACUCUGCACUGGUUCCAUUUUCAGCCGUGUCCUUGAGGAAUGACAGUACCUCAGCACUAGAACCCACUGUUCUGAUAUCAUGAGCCAGUAAUAGUAUCAUUAUCCAGAUAACUUUUAAGGUGAAAUAACCAUUUCACUCCUUGUAGUUUCGCUUUAUUGCUGGUGAAUCUUAUGGGUUUUUCUUUUUGCCCAAAGUUCUGUACCUGUGUUUCCGAAAUUUAUGAAGUGCUUACCAGAUACUUGGUUGCAAAUUAAGCUUCCUGAUCCAUCUUGUGAGAGUAAACAAAUUUAGUUCACGAAUAUACCAAAGUGCUUGUUUCUUGAAUCCAGCAUAAUAGACUAUCUCAAACUCUCUGCAUUUAUCGAUUGAAAGAUUUUAAUUUCUCGAAAUGAUUAUAUUUUUAUCAUUCUUUUUACUUCAGGAUCGUAUAUUCAAAAAUUACUUGUAUUUACCUGAGUCAUUGAAGUUCUAUUUUGUAUCAGAUAACCGGUCUCAGCGUUUGCAUACAAGUGGUGAAAAAUAAGU